UGGGCUUCAGCUAUCACUUGAUCAGUUGAUCUCUGCCCGCUCUUCCACUCCAUCCGAAGUGCCCUUUCAUGGCCUCCGGUAGCCGCCGCGGUCUCCUUCCGAUACCGUCCUCCUCCGACCCCGCCGAAAACGCAGCCCAACCCGCAGGCUCAGCCGUCAGCAAAGCCAUAGCUCAGUUCUCCGUCGACGCCCGCCUCCACGCCGCCUUCGAACAGUCCGCUGGCGGUGGAGCCCGCUUCUUGGAAUAUUCACAAUCCAUACUCACCCCUUCCUCCUCCUUCCUUGUCUCUCCCGAACACCACCACAUCGCCGCCUAUCUCUGCAAGAUUCAACGCGGUGGCCAUAUCCAACCCUUCGGCUGCACCCUCGCUGUUGACGAGCCCUCCUUCCGAAUCAUCGCUUUCUCCGCCAACACUUCCGAUCUCCUCGACCUCAACCACCAAUCCGUCCCCUCUCUCGACGAUGAUGGUGAUAAGAAGCCCGAGCCCCUCGCCAUCGGCACUGAUGCCCGCUCCCUCUUCACUCCGCCUGGCUCAGUACUCCUUGAACGCGCUGCGAACGCCCGCGAGAUAACUCUCUUGAACCCUCUCUGGGUCCAUUCGAGGAAAUCCGGUAAGCCCUUUUAUGCCAUUCUUCACCGCAUAGACGUCGGUAUUGUCAUCGAUCUGGAGCCUGCAAGGACGGAGGACCCCGCACUAUCCGUCGCGGGUGCCGUUCAGUCCCAGAAGUUAGCCGUUCGCGCGAUCUCCAGUCUCCAGGCACUCCCAGGCGGUGACAUCAAGUUGCUUUGUGAAACAGUUGUUCGGCAUGUCCAGGAGCUAACAGGCUACGAUCGGGUGAUGGUAUAUAAGUUUCACGUUGACGAGCAUGGAGAGGUUUUAGCGGAGAGCAAGAGGGACGACCUCGAGCCCUACCUUGGCCUCCAUUAUCCCGCCACGGACAUCCCUCAAGCCUCUCGGUUUCUGUUCAAACAGAAUAGGGUUAGGAUGAUUGCCGAUUGCCGUGCGAAUCCCGUGAAGGUAAUCCAAGAUGAGCGCCUGCAGCAGCCUCUCUGUCUUGUGGGCUCGACCCUUAGAGCUCCCCAUGGUUGUCAUGCGCAGUACAUGGCCAACAUGGGAUCGGUUGCUUCGCUUGCCAUGGCUGUUAUCAUUAACAACAGCGGUGAGGAAGAAGUUUCCAAGAAUUCAAUGAAGUUAUGGGGUCUUGUUGUUUGUCAUCACACCUCUCCGCGGUGCAUUCCAUUUCCGCUUCGAUAUGCAUGUGAGUUCUUGAUGCAGGCUUUUGGUUUGCAAUUGAAUAUGGAGCUACAGUUGGCUUCACAGAUGUCAGAGAAGCACAUUUUGAAAACUCAAACACUUUUGUGUGAUAUGUUACUUCGUGAUUCUGCUGUUGGAAUUGUAAAUCAGAGCCCUAGUAUAAUGGAUCUUGUUAAGUGUGAUGGUGCUGCGCUGUAUUAUCAGGAAAAAUACUAUCCUCUUGGUGUCACUCCAACUGAAGCUCAGAUCAAAGAUAUAAUUGAAUGGUUGCUCACGUUUCAUGGGGAUUCUACCGGAUUGAGCACGGAUAGCUUGGUUGAUGCUGGGUUUCCUGGUGCUUCUUCCCUUGGGGAUGUUGUUUGUGGAAUGGCAGUUGCAGCUAUCUCUUCAAAGGAUUACUUGUUCUGGUUCCGAUCACAGACGGCAAAGGAGGUCAAGUGGGGUGGUGCAAAGCAUCACCCAGAUGACAAAGAUGAUGGCACCAAAAUGCAUCCACGUUCUUCAUUCAAAGCUUUCUUGGAGGUGGUCAAAAGCAGGAGCUUGCCAUGGGAGAAUGCAGAGAUGGAUGCAAUAUACUCAUUGCAGCUUAUACUAAGAGAUUCUUUCAAGGACACUGAUAGAACGAGUGAUUCGAAGGCAAUGAUAAGUGGGCAGUUGGGUGACAUGGAUGUACAAGGGAUCAAUGAGCUCAGCUCUGUUGCAAGGGAGAUGGUGCGGUUAAUAGAGACUGCAACUGUACCGAUCUUUGCAGUUGAUGCAGAUGGCUUAAUAAAUGGUUGGAAUGCUAAGGUUGCUGAACUAAUCGGUCUUUCUGUUGAGGAAGCCAUGGGAAAAUCACUGGUAAAAGAUCUUGUAUUUGAGGAUUCUGCUGCAAAAGUUGAGAAAUUUCUUUUCCGCGCCUUAAGAGGUGAGGAAGACAAAAAUGUGGAGAUAAAGUUACGAACAUUUGGCUCACAGCAACAGAAGAAAGCAUUAUAUGUCAUGGUAAAUGCUUGUUCUAGCAGGGAUUACACUAACGAAAUAGUUGGAGUCUGUUUUGUUGGCCAGGAUAUUACUGGGCAGAAGGCAGUUAUGGAUAAGUUUACUCACAUUCAAGGUGAUUAUAAAGCCAUUGUGCACAGUCUCAACCCUCUGAUUCCUCCCAUAUUUGCCUCAGAUGAAAACACUUGUUGCUCAGAAUGGAAUGUUGCUAUGGAGAGGCUUACAGGAUGGUUGAGAAGAGAUAUGAUUGGAAAACUACUUGUUGGAGAAGUUUUUGGCAGUUGCUGCCGACUAAAGGGCCCAGAUGCCCUUACAAAGUUCAUGAUUGUCCUCCAUAAUGCAGUUGAAGGGAAGGAAACUGAGAAAUCCCCGGUUGUAUUUUUUGAUCGAAAUGGAAAAUAUAUUCAGGCACUCUUGACUGCAAAUCCAAGAAGAGAUAUGGAAGGCAAAGUUACUGGAGCUUUUUGCUUCUUUCAGAUAGCAAGUCCAGAGCUGCAACAAGCUCUUGAAGUUCAGAGGCAGCAGGAAAAGAGAUGCUUUGCCAAAAUGAGAGAGCUGGCUUACAUUUGUCAAGAGAUAAGAAAUCCCCUGAGUGGGAUUCAAUUCACAAACUCUCUUUUGCUGAUGACAGAGUUAUCUGAUGACCAGAAGCAAUUUAUCGAAACUAGUAAUUCUUGCACAAGGCAGAUGAGGAAAGUUCUAAAUUAUGUUGGUCUGGAGAGUAUCGAGAAUGGUUCAUUGGAGCUUGAAAAAUGUGAAUUUAUACUUGGAAGUGUUAUAAAUGCUGUGGUGAGUCAAGUGAUGAUUCUAUUGAGAGAACGAGACUUGCAAUUGAUUCGAGAUAUUCCUGAAGAGGUAAAAAUAAUUUCUGUUCAUGGUGAUGAACUUCGAAUUCAACAAGUCUUGGCUGAUUUCCUUUUGAGUAUGGUGUGUUGUGCACCAUCACCUGAAGGAUGGGUGGAAAUCCAGAUUAAACUAAGCCUAAAACAGAAUUCUGAUGGAAGUGAUGCAGUACUUUUACAAUUCAGGAUAGCUUGCCCUGGUGAGGGAUUACCACCAGACGUAGUCCAAGAUAUGUUCAAUAACUCAAGCUGGAUGACUAAAGAAGGCCUUGGACUAAGCAUUUGCCGGAGAAUCCUCGGGAUAAUGAAUGGAGGAGUGCAAUAUAUCAGGGAGUCAGAAAAGUGUUAUUUCCUCAUCACUAUUUGGCUCCCUGUUUCUCAAACGCCAAAAGGAGAUCAGAACUAAGUUUCUCAGUGACUUUGGAUCUUUUUACAUAAAAAUGAGGAAUAUUUUUCCUUCAGAUCAUACUAUUCCAUCAACAAGAUCAGCAAGCUCCCAUGAUUUUGUUUGUAGCAGUUGUAUAGUAAUAUAUUUACAAUAUCUUUUGAUAUUUUUCUGGUCGUGAAAGUUGCAGUAUUGGACGGGUGAGUAGGUGCAAGCAUUACUUAAACGUCCUUUGGGCUUAUUGUGGCCAAUCGUUUAGCAUAAGAAGUCAGGUUUUAAAUAUUAUUGGAACUAAUUUUAUAUUUUUAUGGUUAAUUUAAACAUGAAUUGAGUUGAUCUUGAGCAAACUAUAUCUUCUAGUUUUGGGGAUUCGGAGUGUAUAAAUAUAUGUUCUAAGGUAUGCAAUUGAUUAAUUUUGAUUUGAAUGAAAUUUAUCUUGCUGGUUUUCAA